rnacentral:rRNA from 1 species
AGUCGAACGAGAUCUUCGGAUCUAGUGGCGCACGGGUGAGUAACGCGUGGAAACCUACCUUUUAGUUCGGGAUAACGUUUGGAAACGGACGCUAAUACCGUAUACGCCCUCCGGGGGAAAGGUCAGCCGCUGAAAGAGGGGCCUGCGUCUGAUUAGCUAGUUGGUAGGGUAAUGGCUUACCAAGGCUACGAUCAGUAGCUGGUCUGAGAGGAUGAUCAGCCACACUGGGACUGAGACACGGCCCAGACUCCUACGGGAGGCAGCAGUGGGGAGUAUUGGACAAUGGAGGCAACUCUGAUCCAGCAAUGCCGCGUGUGUGAUGAAGGCCCUAGGGUUGUAAAGCACUUUCAACGGUGAAGAUGAUGACGGUAGCCGUAGAAGAAGCCCCGCCUAACUUCGUGCCAGCAGCCGCGGUAAUACGAAGGGGGCGAGCGUUAUUCGGAAUUAUUGGGCGUAAAGGGCUCGCAGGCUGCUUGAACAGUUAGACGUGAAGUCCCCGGGCUCAACCUGGGAACUGCGUUUAAUACUAGCAAGCUAGAGAGAUAGAGAGGAAAGUGGAACUCC